GCCGUUGUAGCUCAGGGGUAGAGCACAUCCUUGGUAGGGAUGAGGUCGUGAGUUCGAUUCUCACUAACGGCU
rnacentral:tRNA from 2 species